rnacentral:rRNA from 1 species
CCUACGGGACGCAGCAGUGGGGAAUAUUGGACAAUGGGGGAAACCCUGAUCCAGCGACGCCGCGUGAGUGAAGAAGGAUUUCGGUACGUAAAGCUCUAUCAGCAGGAAAGAAAAUGACGGUACCUGACUAAGAAGCCCCGGCUAACUACGGGCCAGCAGCCGCGGUAAUACGUAGGGGGCAAGCGUUAUCCGGAUUUACUGGGUGGAAAGGGAGCGUAGACGGCAGCGCAAGGCUGGAGUGAAAUGCCGGGGCCCAACCCCGGAACUGCUCUGGAAACUGUGAAGCUGGAGUGCAGGAGAGGUAAGCGGAAUUCCUGGUGUAGCGGUGAAAUGCGUAGAUAUCAGGAGGAACACCGGCGGCGAAGGCGGCUUACUGGACUGUAACUGACGUUGAGGCUCGAAGGCGUGGGGAGUAAACAGGAUUAGAUACCCUAGUAGUC